GACGAACGCUGGCGGCGUGCUUAACACAUGCAGGUCGAACGGAAAGGCCCUGCUUUUGUGGGGUGCUCGAGUGGCGAACGGGUGAGUAACACGUGAGUAACCUGCCCUUGACUUUGGGAUAACUUCAGGAAACUGGGGCUAAUACCGGAUAGGAGCUCCUGCUGCAUGGUGGGGGUUGGAAAGUUUCGGCGGUUGGGGAUGGACUCGCGGCUUAUCAGCUUGUUGGUGGGGUAGUGGCUUACCAAGGCUUUGACGGGUAGCCGGCCUGAGAGGGUGACCGGCCACAUUGGGACUGAGAUACGGCCCAGACUCGUACGGGAGGCAGCAGUGGGGAAUAUGGCACAAUGGGCGGAAGCCUGAUGCAGCAACGCCGCGUGCGGGAUGACGGCCUUCGGGUUGUAAACCGCUUUCGCCUGUGACGAAGCGUGAGUGACGGUAAUGGGUAAAGAAGCACCGGCUAACUACGUG
rnacentral:rRNA from 1 species